GGUAUUUUACCGGCAAAUGGUCAAGCUAAAAUACCAAAAAUAACGAUAGUAACAAGUAUUUCGGAAAAGGAAUUGGAUUAUGUCCGUAGAAUACCAAGCGCCGCCACAAUGACCACGUUGAGACCCUUCACCUGCGACGACCUCUUCAAGUUCAACAAUGUAAACUUUGACCCACUUACGGAGACCUAUGGGCUGUCCUUCUACACGCAGUACCUGGCCAAGUGGCCCGAGUACUUCCAGCUGGCAGAGUCCCCCAGCGGUCACAUAAUGGGCUACAUCAUGGGCAAGGUGGAGGGCCACCUGGACAACUGGCACGGGCAUGUGACGGCGCUGACGGUCUCGCCCGACUACCGACGUCUCGGUCUGGCCGCGCUCCUCAUGAGUUUCUUGGAGGACAUUUCGGAAAAGAAGCGGGCAUACUUUGUGGAUCUGUUCGUGCGGAAGAGCAACCAGGUGGCGAUCAACAUGUACACUAACCUCGGCUACAUCAUCUACCGGACCAUACUCGAGUACUACUCCGGCGACCAGGACGAGGAUGCGUACGACAUGAGAAAGGCAUUGUCGAGGGACGUGAACAAGAAGUCGGUCAUACCGUACACGCAGCCUGUACGACUGGAAGAUAUAGAUAUGAAUUGAUACGAUAUCAACCCAGUAGCGCCCGCCAUAGCAUUUAUGUCUAACUGACCCCGAUCCACCACUUUUGAAAGGGGCGCGAGCGCAUUACAUCGCAGCCCAUUGAUUUCUAGUUAAUUAGAUAUGUAAAUAACCCGCAGUCCCACAAUCCUCCCGGUCAUAACUCCAACCGGUGUCCUGCUUGCGAACGAACCGAGACCCUGCAAUAUUCACAAACUUGCAUAUCCCACCCGAAACUAAACCCGUACUGAUACAGUCUAUGUCUGCUCGAGUUUUCGAAUAUUCUAUUGACUUCGAAAUUAUUUGAAGAUUUCUUAAGCCGAUGCGUAAAUAACCGUAUUUCAAAGAUUGUUCCACAGUUCAGAAGAUCACCAUGCGCGAGCUGCGCAGACAAAUGCGGCACGAUCACUAGAUGGAACUAUCCCCGGCAGACAUAGGCAUAGCGACCCUAGAAGCACUUUAUCGGCCUGCCGAUUCCCAAUAACUAAUGUGUUGCGUAGAAAACCUUUUACCAUAAUAUACAAACUAAAUCCAAUCGCAAAA